rnacentral:rRNA from 1 species
AUUAACAGGAUUAGAUACCCUGGUAGUCCACGCCCUAAACGAUGUCUACUAGUUGUCGGGUUUUAAUUAACUUGGUAACGCAGCUAACGCGUGAAGUAGACCGCCUGGGGAGUACGGUCGCAAGAUUAAAACUCAAAGGAAUUGACGGGGACCCGCACAAGCGGUGGAUGAUGUGGAUUAAUUCGAUGCAACGCGAAAAACCUUACCUACCCUUGACAUGUACGGAAGGCCGAAGAGAUUUGGCUGUGCUCGAAAGAGAACCGUAACACAGGUGCUGCAUGGCUGUCGUCAGCUCGUGUCGUGAGAUGUUGGGUUAAGUCCCGCAACGAGCGCAACCCUUGUCAUUAGUUGCUACGAAAGGGCACUCUAAUGAGACUGCCGGUGACAAACCGGAGGAAGGUGGGGAUGACGUCAAGUCCUCAUGGCCCUUAUGGGUAGGGCUUCACACGUCAUACAAUGGUACAUACAGAGCGCCGCCAACCCGCGAGGGGGAGCUAAUCGCAGAAAGUGUAUCGUAGUCCGGAUUGUAGUCUGCAACUCGACUGCAAGAAGUUGGAAUCGCUAGUAAUCGCGGAUCAGCAUGUCGCGGUGAAUACGUUCCCGGGUCUUGUACACACCGCCCGUCACACCAUGGGAGCGGGUUUUACCAGAAGUAGGUAGCUUAACCGCAAGGAGGGCGCUUACCACGGUAGGAUUCGUGACUGGGGUGAAGUCGUAACAAGGUAACCGUA